UCAGCAAGAAUUUGACAACGAUAUUCUGGUCCUCUCUUACGAAACCAUGGUUCGCUAAAACAUGUAAUCAGAAACACCAGUGAGGAGUGAACGUAAAAGGUUAAUGCAAAACACCAUGCCAAGAGGAAAGAUCUCAGAGGACAUCAGUCUUGCGAAGGCUGAUGUCAACCAGACAACCAUCUCAACCAGAUUUGAGCUCUAUCAGUCCACUGUAAGGCAAAUCAUUUACAAAUAUAAAGAAUUUAACGUGACGCUUGGUAUAUAAGUGGAUGGCCGCCCUUCCAAAGUAUCCCCAUGAGCCACAAGAAAAAUAAAUAAAGGAAAUGCCAACCCAAACCGCAUCCCAGGUUACUGUGUAUGAUGCAACAACAAUAAGAACACUGAAUUUGAAAUGGCAUUCAUGCAAAGGUUGCUAGGAAGAAGCCUCUGCUUUAAUAAAAAUCUUAACUUUGCCAGAGCCCACUAAGACAAACCUGAAGAUAACCUUGCCAACAGUCAAGCACGGUGGUGGGAAUGUUAAGAUCUGGGGCUGCUUUUCACCAUCUGGACCUGGUCAACUGCACAUCAUCAAGGGAAUCAUGAAUUCUGAGUUAUACCAGGAGAUUCUUGCCCAUGCACACUGCAAAAUCUCCCUGCCACUGUCUCAACGCAAAGUCUAUUUUCAAUAAUAAUAAACAAAUAAUAAUUUUGCAUGUUUUAACCAUGAAACUUUUAAUCUGCAUCACUGUUAAGCUUUUUGGUUAUGAUUAAACAAUAAUUCAUAA